AAAUUGAAGAGUUUGAUCAUGGCUCAGAUUGAACGCUGGCGGCAGGCCUAACACAUGCAAGUCGAGCGGUAGCACAGAGAGCUUGCUCUCGGGUGACGAGCGGCGGACGGGUGAGUAAUGUCUGGGAAACUGCCUGAUGGAGGGGGAUAACUACUGGAAACGGUAGCUAAUACCGCAUAACGUCGCAAGACCAAAGUGGGGGACCUUCGGGCCUCAUGCCAUCAGAUGUGCCCAGAUGGGAUUAGCUAGUAGGUGGGGUAAUGGCUCACCUAGGCGACGAUCCCUAGCUGGUCUGAGAGGAUGACCAGCCACACUGGAACUGAGACACGGUCCAGACUCCUACGGGAGGCAGCAGUGGGGAAUAUUGCACAAUGGGCGCAAGCCUGAUGCAGCCAUGCCGCGUGUGUGAAGAAGGCCUUCGGGUUGUAAAGCACUUUCAGCGGGGAGGAAGGCGAUAAGGUUAAUAACCUU
rnacentral:rRNA from 1 species